rnacentral:rRNA from 1 species
CAACUCGACUGCAUGAAGCCGGAAUCGCUAGUAAUCGCGGAUCAGAAUGCCGCGGUGAAUACGUUCCCGGGUCUUGUACACACCGCCCGUCACACCAUGGGAGUCGGAAAUGCCCGAAGCCGGUGGCCUAACCGAUAAGGGAGGAGCCGUCGAAGGCAGGUCUGAUGACUGGGGUGGAAGUCGUAACAAGGUAUC